CUCCGUCUUUCUCUUUGUCAGUUCUGACAUUUACUCAUUUUUUGUCUACAGAGAGUGGAUGAGAGCUCUCUGCCACUGUCCGGGAGGGCUGGGGCUGGGUGAGGUCUGGGGGCUGGGUGAGGUCUGAGGGCUGGCUGGCAGCUAGGAGGAGGGAGACAUGACGCUGACGGCCCUGCAUUGCUGCUUCCUCCAGCUGAAUCUACCACCCUGACUUGGAGGAGGUGAGACUCCACUCCAGGGGAGGGGCUCGGACACUGGACCAGAUUGAGGACUAGCUAAAACAGGGCCGAGGUGAAAGCAGCUUUCAGUCAGACCUGCCCACCAGUGUGCCAUGUCAGUUUACCAUUGCCAUGGCAACACCCUGGAGUUACCACCCCUUUCCGUGGCAACGACCCAAUGACUAUUACCCCAUCCCUAGAAAUUCCUGCACAAACCACCCCUUAAUCUGCAUGCCAUUAAAAAUGGGUAAAAACAUGACGGCAGAACUGUCCUGAGCUGCUGUUCCCUGCCUAUGGGGAAGCCCUGCCCUGCAGGAGCAGUCACGGAGCUGCGACACCACCAGAGCUGGGACACCACCAGAGCUGCGAGACCACCAGAGCUGUGACACCACCAGAGCCGGGACACCACCAGAGCCGGGACACCACCAGAGCCGGGACACCACCAGAGCUCCGAGACCACCAGAGCUGCCACACCACCAGAGCUGUGACACCACCAGAGCCGUGACACCACCAGAGCCGGGACACCACCAGAGCCGGGACACCACCAGAGCCGCGAGACCACCAGAGCCGUGACACCACCAGAGCCGGGACACCACCAGAGCUGGGACACCACCAGAGCUGCGAGACCACCAGAGCUGGGACACCACCAGAGCUGCCACACCACCAGAGCUGCGACAGCACCAGAGCCGGGACACCAGCAGAGCCGGGACACCACCAGAGCCGCAACACCACCAGAGCUGCGACACCAGCAGAGCCGCGACACCAGCAGAGCCGGGACACCACCAGAGCCGUGACACCAGCAGAGCCGGGACACCACCAGAGCUGCGAGACCACCAGGGCCGGGACACCACCAGGGCCGGGACACCACCAGAGCUGCGAGACCACCAGGGCCGGGACACCACCAGAGCCGGGACACCACCAGAGCUGCGAGACCACCAGGGCCGUGACACCACCAGAGCCGGGACACCACCAGAGCUGGGACACCACCAGAGCUGCGAGACCACCAGAGCUGGGACACCACCAGAGCUGCCACACCACCAGAGCUGCGACACCAGCAGAGCCGCGACACCAGCAGAGCCGGGACACCAGCAGAGCCGGGACACCACCAGAGCCGUGACACCAGCAGAGCCGGGACACCACCAGGGCCGGGACACCAGCAGAGCCGGGACACCACCAGAGCCGUGACACCAGCAGAGCCGGGACACCACCAGGGCCGGGACACCACCAGAGCUGCGAGACCACCAGGGCCGGGACACCACCAGAGCCGGGACACCACCAGAGCUGGGACACCACCAGAGCUGCGAGACCACCAGAGCCGUGACACCACCAGAGCCGUGACACCAGCAGAGCUGGGACACCACCAGAGCUGUGAGACCACCAGAGCCGGGACACCACCAGAGCCGGGACACCACCAGAGCUGCGAGACCACCAGAGCCGUGACACCAGCAGAGCCGGGACACCACCAGAGCCGGGACACCACCAGAGCCGGGACACCACCAGAGCUCCGAGACCACCAGAGCUGCCACACCACCAGAGCUGUGACACCACCAGAGCUGUGACACCACCAGAGCCGGGACACCACCAGAGCCGGGACACCACCAGAGCUGCGAGACCACCAGAGCUGGGACACCACCAGAGCUGGGACACCACCAGAGCCGGGACACCACCAGAGCUCCGAGACCACCAGAGCUGCCACACCACCAGAGCUGUGACACCACCAGAGCCGGGACACCACCAGAGCCGGGACACCACCAGAGCCGGGACACCACCAGAGCUGUGACACUGUGGCUUCAGUAAAGCUGUUUCUUCUACCACUGGCUUGCCCUUGCAUUCUUUCCUGGGUGAAGCCAAAAACCCAGAGGGCUAAACUCCACUUUCGGGCUCGCCUGCCUGCAUCAUAACCAUCAGGCCUGGAGAGCCGGGUCUCUUGAGAGUAAACUGCCGUGAGAUUCUACAGGAACUCUGCCUCUCCUCUGGGCUGAGCUGUUCUGCCUCAGUUUCCUCACUAACAAAAUGGGGUGACAUCUUGAGGUGGCCCCUCUCGGUGCUGCCAGCCUCUCUGCUCCCCACUCUUUUUGGGCAGCCCUCAAGGCCCUCGUACAGCAUCUGGGGGGCGGGUCACACUGCAUACGGCAGGGGUGGGGGGGGUCACAGACAGAGGUGCUAAAUCGAUGCAGGACGUCCGCCCCAAAGACACGCUUGUGCUCCCUUUGGAGAGUCCUGCAUCCUUCGCCCUCUGUUCAUCUGUCUGUUUGGGUCCUGGGGAUGAGUCUAGGUGGCGGCCAUCUCCGGAUGUCCCCAGGUUGCUCUGUGUGGGGAAGGGUGGGGAGGCUGCUGGGAACUGGACUCUCCUGGAGAGAGGCAGGGCCAGUGGGCUGUGGGUGCUGGGGCUUGGCACGGUGCUCCCCAGCCUGGUGGCCCCCUCUGCAGUGGAUGGAGUCGGGAUCCUGGGGGCAGUGAGUCUGGGACCCCGUCUUGGGAAGUCAGCCAGCCCCAGGAGCUGAUUUGGCCAACCUGGCCUCAAUUGAGCACCAAGGGGGCCUGAGGGAGCACCGAGGGGGCCUCCUGGGAGUUUGUCACAUGAUGGAGGCCUCGAGCCGUGGCCCGGCUCUGUCUGCUCGCGCCCCCUCACCCACGGCUGGCUAUUGUGGAUGGUGAUGUUCCUGUUACAACUGAGGGAUCUCCAUAGAAACCCAACAAGGUCUAAUUAGACACAAGUAAGUGCUUCCCAAAUGCAUUUUAAUUACAGCUCUGCUGAAAUGAACGUCAAACUGAGGUUUCAGUUGCUGCGUGUGUGAACCGAAUUGGCGCC
rnacentral:lncRNA from 1 species